rnacentral:lncRNA from 1 species
CAAAGUACUGUUCAUGUUGUGUUUUACCUCACAGAUUACUGUUCACUUACCAUUUUAGCCUUAAUUCUCUAGCUGAGAGCUUAAUGGUCUUUGCACGUGUAAAAAUAUCUGUUUUAGGAAACAAUAUUUUAUUUCUCUGGGAAGCUCAUUGUGCUCCAAAAUCUUUCGUACAACCCUGCUUUCUCUCUCGACAACAGAAAAAAGGCUAAACGAAACCCUCAGCAACCUCUUGUGAUUUGGACUGGUGAUUGUAUAUGUUGUGAUUUGCUCAUUUGUAGCAUCCUUCAUACAUCUUGCUGUCAUCUACUGCAUAUUCUGAUAUUUAUAAUCUCAAAUCGUGAGGUACGUCGACUUCAAGUUUUCCUUCAGCUUAUCGUUCUUCCCAAGAAUAUUAGGGUUUCCAUAAGGUUUUGCAAUUCUUGUGAUAGCAACGUUAAGUUUUUGGCGAUUUGUCAUUAUUUGAGCUUCAAAUGUUUUGUAUUUUGUGUCGAUUUCUCAUUGUUUGACGUUUAGAUAUUCUGUAUUUUGAAUCAAUUUUUUUUCAAGGUUUUUGUGCAUCUUCAGGUUUGAAUUUUUUUCUCUUCUUCAGAUAUUUGUCAAUUUCUGAUGCUUUUAAUUUCAAACGUUUAUAUAUAGUUUUUGAACUAAUUUUUCCUUCCUCUGUUUCUUUGUGUAUAAUUUUAUUUUCAGCUGGUGGAAUUGACAGUUGUAGUAUAAUGUUUUCGAAUUCCUUUGGAAGUUUGUCAAAGAAGUAGGGAAAUUUGACUGAAUAGCGAUUAGCAAUCUGAGGUAUGUGAACUUCACACACACACACUUUAAGUUUUUUUUAAAUUGUUGAAAGAAUUAUAUUCAGCGACCUCAGCUAUGACAAUAGUGGUGCUGAAAUAAAUUUUCGUCUGCUGAUAUUUGCUGAUUUUACUUUGAGAUUCUGUGUAAUUUGAACUGAAUUUCUCUUUUUGUUGCGAUACUAUUUUCAAAUUGCUCGAAUUAACGGAUGUAGUGGUGUGCUCUUUAUUUGUUCAGUAAAUUUUCUAAAAAAGAAUUGUUCUUCAAGUUAUUCUCCAUUGGAUAAUUUACAAACUUUUGAUGCAGGAGGAUCCGAGUCGAGUGAUGCUGAUUUGUCAGAUAGCACGAUGAUGACACUGAGAUACCAUGAGAUGGCGGAUCGGCGCAAAGAUGGAAAGUGAAUCGCCAUUAUUUCCUUAAUUGGGGGAAUUUGACGCGUUUUUGAUAAUUUGGCCAUAACUUUGGCUACGGUUAUCGGAAUCGCUAUUAUGACCCCAAUCCGGAAAGCUCUCUUCAGCGCGCACGUCGUGGCCACCCAGCUAUGCCUGGUGGAUGUCAAUUUCGAGCCCAAAAUCCACUAUUUUCCUUUCCAAAAUUCAAUUUUAAGUUAUUUUUUACUAUUUAUGGUAAUAUUUCAUUUCCUUUUUUCCAUAUGUUAGAAAACUCUAAUUGAG